rnacentral:rRNA from 1 species
GGCUGCAACUCGCCUACAUGAAGUCGGAAUCGCUAGUAAUCGCGGAUCAGCACGCCGCGGUGAAUACGUUCCCGGGCCUUGUACACACCGCCCGUCACACCACGAGAGUUUGUAACACCCGAAGUCGGUGAGGUAACCUAUUAGGAGCCAGCCCCCUAAGGUGGGAUAGAUGAUUGGGUGAAGUCGUAACAAGGUAGC